GUAGGCGGGGGUUCAACUUUCCCAAAGAGCUAAAAUGACACCCCAAAGCCUUUCUGUACAUCCACCCUGUCCUUAGCCAACAUUUGACCUACAGCUCCACAGGAAGAGAGUGAGGGAGAAAAGUUGGGAGGACUUGGCUGUCAGACAGAAGAACUCCACCUGGCACAGAGAGGACCUGCAGGAGAAGCACUGACUGAAGGACCUCACGAGGCACACUGUCCCAGCACCUCCAGGCACCACACCCAAGCUAAGAGGGGGCACAAUCAGGACUGAGCCACCAUUGUCCCUGGGACUUGAGGUUGGGAGAGGAUAAGCAGAGACCCAGACCAUCCCCUCCCGGGAGGCUGGGACCCGGAGGAGGGCGUGCCUACUCCUGGCGAAGGGUCUUCCUCAGUGUGGCUGGAGGAAGUGGGAAGCUGUUUCCUCCCAGCUGCAGUCAUGGAGCCACAGAGUCGGGAUUCAUGGCAAAUUAAGUUGUUGAUUUGUACGUUAAAUGAGGUUAAUUCCAUCCAUUAACCAAAGAUGUUUUCAAAGCGCCUGGUGUAAGAGCGAGGAGCAAUUAGUGUCUUUGUAUUAGUGGAUGUGGGCCAGGCCGUGAGGGGAGGGGGAUGAAGCUUAUGCACUCUUUAUGAUAUCAUCAAAAGUAAAUGAAUUAUGAAAACAAAAGA